UCCCUGGUGGCUCAGAAGGUAAAGCAUCUGCCUACAAUGCAGGAGACCCGGGUUCGAUCCCUGGGUUGGGAA
rnacentral:tRNA from 1 species